rnacentral:misc_RNA from 1 species
UUUCCGUAGGUGAACCUGCGGAAGGAUCAUUAUAGAGAUCCUGCCCUCACGGGUAGACCUCCAACCCUGUGUAUUUAUACCUCGUUGCUUCGGCAGGCCGUCUAGGCUUCGCCUGGCCAUGGGCUCCGGCUCGUGUGUGCCUGCCAGAAGACAUCCAAACUCUUGAUAUAAUUGUCGUCUGAGUAAAAACUUAAUAAGUUAAAACUUUCAACAACGGAUCUCUUGGUUCUGGCAUCGAUGAAGAACGCAGC